ACACAACUUGUUUUUUUUAACGACCAUUCUUAGAUUGAUGAUAAAUAUGCACUGCCUAGAAUCUAGAGAUUUGCAUUACAAUAUCUUCGAUUGUUUGCACUUGCGUAAAUUUUCUGAUUUGGUAGUUUCUGAAUUGUUUUCGAAAGCUGAUGAGCAAUGUUUGUUGAUUAUGUAUGCAGAAACAUAAUGUACAAGCCACCUCAAUUUUAUUUCUUACGUGUCGCUUUAUUUUGAGUUGCUUGAGUCUCUCCUCUUUUGAUAGCUUUACUCGAUAUUGUUUUUUUAAUAGCAAAAUCACGGGUUGACAUUAAAAUUGCAAAUUGCGUGAAAUUUUUUUUUUUGCUUGUGAUGUAAUAAGCCGAACAAAACAACAGAGAGGGCACGACGAGAAACAAAAAGGUAAGAAGAUCCGUGAGGAGGAGGAGGAAUAUU
rnacentral:lncRNA from 1 species